UACGUAGGGUGCGAGCGUUAAUCGGAAUUACUGGGCGUAAAGCGUGCGCAGGCGGUUUUGUAAGCCAGAUGUGAAAUCCCCGGGCUUAACCUGGGAAUGGCAUUUGGGACUGCAAGGCUGGAGUUUGGCAGAGGAGACUGGAAUUCCUGGUGUAGCAGUGAAAUGCGUAGAUAUCAGGAGGAACACCGAUGGCGAAGGCAGGUCUCUGGGCUGAAACUGACGCUGAGGUGCGAAAGCGUGGGGAGCAAACAGG
rnacentral:rRNA from 1 species